UACGUAGGGUGCGAGCGUUGUCCGGAAUUAUUGGGCGUAAAGAGCUCGUAGGCGGUCUGUCGCGUCGAAUGUGAAAACCCGGGGCUCAACUCCGGGCUUGCAUUCGAUACGGGCAGGCUAGAGUUCGGUAGGGGAGUCUGGAAUUCCUGGUGUAGCGGUGAAAUGCGCAGAUAUCAGGAGGAACACCGGCGGCGAAGGCGGGACUCUGGGCCGAUACUGACGCUGAGGAGCGAAAGCGUGGGGAGCAAACAGG
rnacentral:rRNA from 1 species